UACGUAGGGCGCGAGCGUUGUCCGGAAUUAUUGGGCGUAAAGAGCUCGUAGGCGGCUGGUUGCGUCUGCUGUGAAAUCCCGGGGCUUAACCCCGGGCGUGCAGUGGAUACGGGCCGGCUGGAGGCAGGCAGGGGAGAAUGGAAUUCCCGGUGUAGCGGUGAAAUGCGCAGAUAUCGGGAGGAACACCGGUGGCGAAGGCGGUUCCCUGGGCCUGUCCUGACGCUCAGGCGCGAAAGCUAGGGGAGCAAACAGG
rnacentral:rRNA from 1 species